UACGAAGGGGGCUAGCGUUGUUCGGAAUCACUGGGCGUAAAGGGCGCGUAGGCGGCGCGACAAGUCAGGCGUGAAAGCCCCGGGCUCAACCCGGGAAUUGCGCUUGAUACUGUCGUGCUUGAGGCCGGGAGAGGAUGGCGGAAUUCCCAGUGUAGAGGUGAAAUGCGUAGAUAUCUGGAGGAACACCGGUGGCGAAGGCGGCAUCCUGGACCAACACUGACGCUGAGUGAGCGAAAGCCAGGGGAGCAAACGGG
rnacentral:rRNA from 1 species